CCCUUCAGUAUCUACCGAGGAGGACUCAUGGAGUCUCAUUGUCCAGUAUAAGGACACAGAACGCAGACUGAAAAACAAUGUGAGAAAAAAAAACACCUAGCUAACCAGGUGACAAACUUCAAGAUGUCUCCCCUUACCAUCCUGUUCCAACAGAAGGGACGUCGAAACAUGGAAUACAACUGCACUCACCUGGAGAUUUCAUCUUUUAGACAAGCUCAAAGAGAAAGAAAUUUGCUACAGUAACUCCAUCAGUCAUUGUUUAGGCCUGCCCUACUUGUUUUCAUCCUGUUAAAUGAUGACGUACGUCAUUGUCCCUACACCCUCACAGCCCUGAGGACUUUGUUUUUGUCUUUUCCGACUGAGCUCCCACCUAAAGAAAGGUGACUGAUAGAGAGGCAGUGGUCCACAAUUGCUGGUACACAAGGAAGGCAAUGGGGCCUGGCUGUUUUGUGCGGCUCAGUGGAUCUGGCAAAACAAAACAAAAAAACACUCAGAAACUCCCUGGCUUUUCAGCCAUUUCCAUUUACAAAUAAACCUAGAGCAAGGCUUGCUGUUUGUGGAUGGGUUAACUUGAGACAGAAAUGCCUUUAAUGAAGUUCCAAGGAAUACUGCAGUCAUAUUAAGCAGAAGUUACUUUUCUUUGGGAGUCUGAAUCAUUUCUGACGAGUGUUUAUGCAACAGUUAGCAGACAGUUGCGCCCUUCACCUCGUGCCCGUUUCCUCUUUUGAGUUUUGAUGAAUUGUCAUACCCAAUCACCCAUGGGCUGAGCUACACCCUUCAGAGGGAGGGCAUCCGUCUCAAGGGGCCCCAUCACGAGGUUUGGACUGAAAAUGAAACAAGACUAGCACCCAGCCUCAUGGAAGACGAUUUUCUCAUGAAAAACCAAAGCUUGGGCAUCAAGAGGUUUCAUCACGGCCACAGGAAUGAUAGUAGCAAAACAUAG
rnacentral:lncRNA from 1 species